rnacentral:lncRNA from 1 species
CAGUGUAUUCCCACCUAGUGGGGUCUGGGGGGGUUAAGAUGUACGCAGUCCAUACCUCUACCUCUAAAGAAGUAGAAAGACUGUUUCCGAUAGACCCCCGGCUUAAGUCACGAGAUACCACACAAACUCAUAGUAGAGCACAGAACUAAAUUACAUAACAUAAAUACGGCACCCAUAAGUAUUAGAAAACAGAGGAAAGCACACAGAUUCGUAAUAAAACAUGGAACACGGAAUCAUAACAGGAAUAAAACUCCCACCAAGUGAUUCCCUACCCUAGCGACC